rnacentral:ncRNA from 1 species
UAAAAAGCGAUGACAGCGAAAAGUAGAUUGUUCGGAAGCCGACAGGGACGCACAGGCAAGGACUGAGACCGGUGCGCGGGAGAAGAAAAUCGAAGUUCACGCUCGAGCUUCCCGGGGGAACCAGUUAAUGCAGUAGUUCGGGACGCAAAUCCGGCGUUAUUGGAAGAAUAAGUGGGUAUAUCGGUUGAAUAAGCCUAUAUAUCAAGCAGGGUGGUACCACGGAAAUUGCUCCCGUCCCUUUC